rnacentral:misc_RNA from 1 species
CAAGAAUCGAGGUUGGCCGCGCCUAGCGGAACUCUGUCCCGCUUUGGCCUGCGGCCAGCCCCGCAUCUUACCUUGCCUACUGCACUGUUUGUUGCUUCCUGGCGGCGGCACCCCGCCGCCGGGGAGACCUUAAACUCUUUGUAUUUAGUAUUGAAAGCCUGACGCACACAAAAUCGUA